AUUGAACGCUGGCGGCGUGCCUUACACAUGCAAGUCGAACGGCAGCAUGGAGAGCUUGCUCUCUGAUGGCGAGUGGCGAACGGGUGAGUAAAGCAUCGGAACGUACCGUGUAGUGGGGGAUAACGUAGCGAAAGUUACGCUAAUACCGCAUACGCACUGAGGUGGAAAGCAGGGGAUCGUAAGACCUUGCGCUAUACGAGCGGCCGAUGUCAGAUUAGCUAGUUGGUAGGGUAAAGGCCUACCAAGGCGACGAUCUGUAGCGGGUCUGAGAGGAUGAUCCGCCACACUGGGACUGAGACACGGCCCAGACUCCUACGGGAGGCAGCAGUGGGGAAUUUUGGACAAUGGGGCAACCCUGAUCCAGCCAUGCCGCGUGAGUGAAGAAGGCCUUCGGGUUGUAAAGCUCUUUCGGCCGGGAAGAAAUCGCACAGGCUAAUACCCUGUGUGGAUGACGGUACCGGCAUAAGAAGCACCGGCUAACUACGUGCCAGCAGCCGCGGUAA
rnacentral:rRNA from 1 species